GCUGCAGGUCUGACAGAUCUCAGACUUUUUGUAUCUCGCAUCCCGACCAGGCCUCCACCUGAACACUGUGAAGGGUCGCGUGCAGAUCUUGCACUCCUUGUCAUAAUCUGCUUUUGUCAUUCGCACAUAGGGACUGUCACCGAGACACGACUCGCAUAUAAUAGGGAAAUCAGAUCGUUCCCAUCCAUCAGCUUCAGCAUCUCUCAGCAACCUAUGCGCCAUCGUUUUCUAAUUCCUAAACUUCAAUCUGAUUAAGAGCAACUUAGGCUAGUGAAAGUUAUUUGAAUGCCAAAAUCUCGCUUAGCAGACUCAAUUUUAUAUAGAGCUCAGAGACGGCGGAGAUGGCUGUUGUCGACGGCGGAGAGAAGAACCUUCCGACGAAGGACAGCGAGGCAAAUAGCCCAGCUCAGCCGGGCGAAGAGAGAUAAG
rnacentral:misc_RNA from 1 species